rnacentral:rRNA from 1 species
CCUACGGGGGGCAGCAGUGAGGAAUAUUGGUCAAUGGGCGUAAGCCUGAACCAGCCAAGUCGCGUGAGGGAUGAAGGUUCUAUGGAUCGUAAACCUCUUUUAUAAGGGAAUAAAGUGUGGGACGCGUCCUAUUUUGUAUGUACCUUAUGAAUAAGGAUCGGCUAACUCCGUGCCAGCAGCCGCGGUGAAACGGAGGAACCGAGCGUUUUCCGGGUUUAUUGGGUUUAAAGGGUGCGUAGGCGGGCUUUUAAAUCAGCGGGGAAAGUCUGUGGCUCCACCAUAGAAUUGCCGUUGAAACUGGGGGGCUUGAGUAUGUUUGAGGCAGGCGGAAUGCGUGGUGUAGCGGUGAAAUGCUUAGAUAUCACGCAGAACCCCGAUUGCGAAGGCAGCCUGCCAAGCCAUGACUGACGCUGAUGCACGAAAGCGUGGGGAUCAAACAGGAUUAGAUACCCCAGUAGUC